GAGCCUGUAGCUUAGUCUGGUUGGAGCGCCGGUCUUAUAAGCCGGAGGUCGCAAGUUCAAAUCUUGCCAGGCUCA
rnacentral:tRNA from 1 species